AGAGUUUGUAGUCCUGGCUCAGGACGAACGCUGGCGGCGGUGCUUAACACAUGCAAAGUCGAACGGAGUACCCUCGAAAGAGAUUUCGGUCAAUGGAGAGGACGUACUUAGUGGCGGACGGGUGAGUAACGCGUGAGGAACCUGCCUUUCAGAGGGGGACAACAGUUGGAAACGACUGCUAAUACCGCAUAACGUACGGGUAUCGCAUGGUACUGGUACCAAAGAUUUAUCGCUGAGAGAUGGCCUCGCGUCUGAUUAGCUAGUUGGUAGGGUAACGGCCUACCAAGGCGACGAUCAGUAGCCGGACUGAGAGGUUGGCCGGCCACAUUGGGACUGAGAUACGGCCCAGACUCCUACGGGAGGCAGCAGUGGGGAAUAUUGGGCAAUGGGCGCAAGGCCUGACCCAGCAACGCCGCGUGAAGGAAGAAGGCUUUCGGGUUGUAAACUUCUUUUGACAGGGAAGAGCAGAAGACGGUACCUGUCGAAUAAGCCACGGCUAACUACGUG
rnacentral:rRNA from 1 species